GCAAGUCGAGGGGUAACAGAGGUGCUUGCACUUGCUGACGACCGGCGCACGGGUGCGUAACGCGUAUAGAACCUACCUUUUACAGAGGGAUAGCCUUUAGAAAUGAAGAUUAAUACCUCAUAGUAUUGCGAUUUGGCAUCGGGUUGUAAUUAAAGAUUUAUUGGUAAAAGAUGACUAUGCGUUCUAUUAGUUAGUUGGUGAGGUAACGGCUCACCAAGACAGCGAUAGAUAGGGGUCCUGAGAGGGAGAUC
rnacentral:rRNA from 1 species